CUACCCUCAGGAGGGGGAUAACGCCUCGAAAGGGGUGCUAAUACCGCAUAAGACCACGCCUAGUCCGCUAGGAGAGGUAAAAGCUGGCCUCUGCAUGCAAGCUAGCACCUGAGGAUGAGCCUGCGGCCCAUCAGCUUGUUGGUAGGGUAACGGCCUACCAAGGUUAUGACGGGUAGCUGGUCUGAGAGGAUGAUCAGCCACACUGGUACUGAAACACGGGCCAG
rnacentral:rRNA from 1 species